UUUUUGUACAAGCAAACAAGUGUUGACCUGAAACGACCCCGGAGACAAGCACAUUUUAAUCAGGCACAAACUGGGGCAGCCUGGGGUCCUUCCAAAUCUGCAUAAACACUUCAGUGGAGUAAAGAAAUACUACAAGGAAGGUCAGAAUGGUCCAGCAAAUACUCAGUAAAUUUGUCGGUGCUAAGAACGUCACGAUCUUACGGACGUGGGUACCCAAUUUGGUGACAUGGGGGACGGUGGGUGGUGUGACGCUUGUUUACUUCACAGACUGGCGGGUCGUCCUCGACUACGUGCCGUACAUUAGGGGCAAGUUCCGCAAGGAUGACUGAAGACUUUUUCAAUUCAAUUCCGUUGUGUUCACAUAACAGCCACGUAAAUGCCGAUCGUUGCUGUUCGCAUUGGCCUUGAGCCGCAAGAAAAUUCAUAAUCUGGGUCACUCGUAUCUCGAGGCACCACUCUAUGUCCCGUUUUAGUGGACGCACAAACACGGAGCAGAGCGUAUAUCCGUGGGCUGGGUGGACAAGAGUGGACUUGCUUCUACUUGGCCACUUAAAAAUGGGAUGAUGAUGAUAAUGUCCAAGUACUGCAGGGACUUGUUAGGAUGAAUUCUGUAUAAUUUUAAAAAAAGCGUUUUGAUCCAUGACUAUUUAAUCUGAAUAAAUCUUUAAAUGUGC